rnacentral:rRNA from 1 species
UACGAAGGGUGCAAGCGUUAAUCGGAAUUACUGGGCGUAAAGCGUGCGUAGGUGGUCUUUUAAGUCCGUUGUGAAAGCCCCUGGGCUCAACCUGGGAAUGGCAGUGGAUACUGGAAGGCUGGAGUACGGUAGAGGAGGGUGGAAUUCCCGGUGUAGCGGUGAAAUGCGUAGAGAUCGGGAGGAACAUCAGUGGCGAAGGCGGCAUCCUGGACCGACAUUGACGCUGAGGAGCGAAAGCUAGGGGAGCAAACGGG